CUGCUUGUAUGGAGCCACAGGUGGACAGGUCUUUGUUAGAGGAAAGGCUGGCGAACGUUUUGCAGUGAGAAACUCGCUCGCUGAAGCUGUAGUGGAAGGGACGGGAGACCACUGUUGUGAGUACAUGACAGGGGGUUGUGUGGUGGUGCUUGGAAAGUGAGCAUCCUCUUCCGACGUCAUCUUUGUUUUGUGAAAAGUAUAUAUACGAGAACUUCCAAUAGUUGAGAGUCACUUUGUCUUGCUUUUGCCAGGGUGGGACGAAAUGUGGCAGCCGGGAUGACUGGAGGUUUGGCUUACAUUCUCGAUGAGGACGAUACUCUCAUCCCCAAGGUUUGUGGCAACACACUUUUCUGCCUGUAGGAAAUACGUGCAAUGGAGUGAUAUGAAAAUAUUUUAACUUAAAAGCAGUGCUUGGGAAUUGGUCGGACCUGGCCUGUUUUAUUUGGAAAACCAGAAACCAGACUGAUUAUAGCCUAAAAAACAUUCUUAAAAAAUUGGGCACGUUGACCUGGUUGCCCAGUAGCACUUUAGAAACCAUUGAGCUCUGACAUAUAUGAUGCCAUGUUAUUUAUCUUUGACUUCGUAAAACCUUAAUGUUUGAUUGUUCGUUCAUUAUUUUUUAAUAUUUAAAAAAAAUGAAAACUGUCUUAUGUUUGUGAAUUUUUAUGGAGAGACGGUGCAACCCUUGACCCUUUUACCUUUUGUGGGACAAUGUUUGACCGUUUGAAAAAAUUGUUUUAAAGUCAACAUUGAGGUAUCUGAACAUUUUGCUCUCCAUUUUUCAGUUUGGUUGGAUGUAGUUAUCCUUAUAUUAUUUAUAAUCUUCAAUCAUUCUACGCAAAAUUGUUACCAGGUGAACAAGGAAAUAGUGAAGAUCCAGAGGGUGGUUGCUCCCGUUGGCCAAAUGCAGCUUAAGAGCCUUAUUGAAGCCCAUGUUGUAAGUUGACCUAAAUUGCCUUGCAAGAUUGUGCCUUCUACACUUUAACAUUUUUUGAAUUCUUGAGCCGGAUGCACUUGGUUUCGUGAUUUGUGUAAACCAUCCUUUGAGGUCGGGGGAAGAGUGGAACGGUCUUCUCUGUUUUUGCGGCUGGUUCUGAUAUUAACAUCCUUCUUGCUGACAUGCUACUUUUCUAACAGUGUCACUAUGUCAUUGUUAUUUUUGCAACUCAAUCUUCGGGAUUCUAUUAACUCGUGUUAUUCAUGAAAUUGAAUCAUCUUGCUGCAUAACUCAUAAUAUACCCUCAUUUACUUUGGUAUGUAGGAAAAAACUGGGAGCAGCAAAGGUGCCAGCAUUCUUAACGAGUGGGACACAUAUUUGCAACUUUUUUGGCAGCUCGUUCCACCUAGCGAAGAAGACACCCCUGAGGCCUGUGUUGAUUAUGAUCAAAUAGCCACCGGGCAGGUGACAUUGCAG
rnacentral:lncRNA from 1 species